AUGAGUCCUCCUGAACAAACAGGAAUACCCGUGCGGACACCCGGCCAGGAACAGCAGCUGCCCGCCCUCGAAGCAGGAGACGUUCCAGCCCAGGGUCGCUUCAUCCACCCUCGCGCACUUAAUCCAUCACUUGUCAUUGCUUCGGAGGCAGCUGACGGGAACAGACCAUCCAGAAAACGUGGGCCGAGGCAGGCCCAGGUGGUGUGGAGGNNNNNNNNNNNGGAGCUCUGCUGCUCCUGCGCUGGGCUCCGGCCGGGCAAGGUCUGCUCAUGCAGAAGUUGCCACUGGAUCUUUACUGUAGCUGCUGUGGCUUUCUGGUUUCCGCGGCCUCCAGCAGCCUGGGUGCUAAUGGGGCUUUUCUCCCCAGAUCCACACGCAUCUGUGGAGCCUGCAGGUGCUGUGGCUUCCUGUGUCCCACUGCCUACUACUGUCAAUGUACAUCCCUGCAUCCAGAGUACCUGGACCAGCACCAGCUCAGACCCAUGGAGGCAGGAUCCCCAAACGAGAUGUUGGAAACACCCGUGUCCGGGCACACAGAAACAAGCCCUGCUGGCCAGUGCUGCUUCCUAAUCCCAGUGACCAAAAACCUGAUCGAUAAAAUGGUUCGGUGAUAUCUAUCUGGAGAUCCAGCUGAAGGUUGCUGAGCAGACAACAUCCAAACUGACUUUUGAGGACACAGAAUAAGGUGAGGGGGUUACUGUGAAAAUGCUAGAGAAAAAUAGUCCUUUUAAUAAGGAACCACACCCGCAAAAUAAGACUUAUUGGUAGUGUGUGGCCAGGACAUUUCUGCAUGAUGACAUGCUAAAAAACUCCUCUGAACAGGGACCAAAGCCUUUCUGGUGCCAUGAACGAGGUUUACACUUCCCAAGAAAAAUCCUGUCCCUCUCUCGCAUCAUACAGUCGGGGAAGGGGAGGCUUUUUCCAGACAAAGAGGUAUCCAGCUGGGAAGGAAGGCAAACAGGGAAUACAUUCCUGACUCACUAUUUAAUUGGUUUAGUGCAGGUGCAAACAGCUUAAUGAAAGGAGGAAAAAAAAAAA
rnacentral:lncRNA from 1 species